UCAAGUUUUUGAGGGCAUACGGUGGAUGCCUUGGCAUCAGGAGCCGAUGAAGGACGUGGGAGCCUGCGAUAUGCCUCGGGGAGUCGGCAACCAGACUGUGAUCCGGGGGUUUCCGAAUGGGGUAACCUGGCACUCGUCAUGGGGUGUCGCCGCCGUCUGAAUGUAUAGGGCGGUUGGUGGGAACGCGGGGAAGUGAAACAUCUCAGUACCCGUAGGAAGAGAAAACAAUAUGUGAUUCCGUGAGUAGUGGUGAGCGAAAGCGGAGGAGCCUAAACCGUGCGCGUGUGAGAGCCGGCGGGCGUUGCGUGUGCGGGGUUGUGGGGCCGCCUGGCUGGAUCUGCCGGUCCAGCGAGAAGUGAUAAACCGCUUGGGUAGUCGAACGGCUUGGGAUGGUCGACCGUAGACGGUGAGAGUCCGGUAGGCGAAACUUGAGUGGCUUCUGGGUGUGUUCCCGAGUAGCACGGGGCCCGUGGAAUCCCGUGUGAAUCUGCCACGACCACGUGGUAAGGCUGAAUACUUCCUGGUGACCGAUAGCGGACCAGUACCGUGAGGGAAAGGUGAAAAGUGCCCCGGUGAGGGGUUGUGAAAGAGUACCUGAAACCGUGUGCCUACAAGCCGUCAGAGCCUGGGUCUUCUUCUUUGGAGGGGGGCCGGGUGAUGGCGUGCCUUUUGAAGAAUGAGCCUGCGAGUUAUGGUGUGUGGCGAGGUUAACCGGUGGCGGGUAGCCGUAGCGAAAGCGAGUCUGAAGAGGGCGUUUGAGUCGCAUGCUGUAGACCCGAAGCGGGGUGAUCUAGCCAUGGGCAGGGUGAAGCGCCGGUAAGACGGUGUGGAGGCCCGAACCCACCAGGGUUGAAAACCUGGGGGAUGACCUGUGGUUAGGGGUGAAAGGCCAAUCAAACUCCGUGAUAGCUGGUUCUCCCCGAAAUGCAUUUAGGUGCAGCGUUGCGUGUUUCUUGCCGGAGGUAGAGCUACUGGAUGGCCGAUGGGCCCGACAAGGUUACUGACGUCAGCCAAACUCCGAAUGCCGGUAAGUGAGAGCGUGGCAGUGAGACUGCGGGGGAUAAGCUUCGUGGUCGAGAGGGAAACAGCCCAGAUCGCCGGUUAAGGCCCCUAAGCGUGUGCUAAGUGGGAAAGGAUGUGGAGUUGCCGUGACAACCAGGAGGUUGGCUUAGAAGCAGCCAUCCUUGAAAGAGUGCGUAAUAGCUCACUGGUCAAGUGAUUCCGCGCCGACAAUGUAGCGGGGCUCAAGCACACCGCCGAAGCCGUGGCACUCGCACCCCUGUGGGGGUGUGGGUGGGUAGGGGAGCGUCCUGCGUCCGGUGAAGCCGUCGAG
rnacentral:rRNA from 1 species